GAAAAGCCUCAUCACCCCCCAUUGCUUAAGAACCUCUUAUCUUUAUCACUAGCCAUUAAUCAGUGACCACCGUUAUCAAAGCUCCAAGAUGCGCAUGAUGCAACUUCCUGGAUGGUGCUGAGCCUGUUUGUCAACAUGUGGAACCCACGUGUACUUAGGGCAAAUGGCAGACGGCCAACGGCAAUCUGAAACCCUGCCCCCUUCCCCUUCAAGUCAAGAAGACUAGCCAGCAGCGACAGUAGGUCUAUAGGUCGAUCCAUGUCUCUAGACACUUUUCACUACCCAGUGGUACCACUACCAACAAUUGCAGGCGACUGUAUCAGUAGUGUGUGAAUUUAAACCUUUGAUCAUCUCAGGCCAAGGAAGACUGGUGAAAGUUGACGUUUGCGGUUUACAUGUGUAGUGUAGUACCAAAAACUAUGUAACUGUUAUGAUGCUAUAGAUGGACUGAUAGUGUAUAAAUAGCUGAGGGUAUUUAUGUGAUAUUCUCUGUUGACUGUAUAAUUAGCAUAUGAUACUAUGGCUACCUGUUUUGACCCUCUCAUCAGAGGACUAUCAUUUGAUCAGGGUAUUAUGUGAUGCAACUGCUGUGAUUUUCUUAGUGGAUUGUACCAAUAGCAUAGGAUACCAAAGUUAAACUGUUGUGAUCCUUUUAGUAAAAUGUAUAAUUAGCCUAGGGAACUAAUGGAACUUCUUGUUUGCAUGUUCCAAUCUUAAAAGGGUGAUUUGUGUUUUAGAAAUUGACAUUGUGUAACUUUCGGAGUCUAGUGUUUUGUUGUGUAAUUUGUGCAAAAAAUCUUGACUCUUAAAGCUUUUUAUACAAAUGUCAAAUUGCAGCAAACACAUUU